GUACGUAACGAUGAAAAACGCAGCGAAAUGCGAUACGUAUGUGAAUUGCAGAAUUCCGUGAACCAUCGAAUCUUUGAACGCAAAUUGCGCUCGAGGCUUCGGCCAAGAGCAUGUCUGCCUCAGCGUC
rnacentral:rRNA from 1 species